UUCCGGUUGAUCCCGCCGGACCUGAGGAUAAGGGAUUGAUACUAAGCCAUGCGAGUCUUUGUAGUAAUACAAGGCAGACGGCUCAGUAACACGUAGUCAAUCUACCCUAUGGACGGGGAUAACCUCGGGAAACUGAGAAUAAUACCCGACAGAUCAUAAUGCCUGGAAUGGUUUAUGGUUUAAAUGAUUUUUCGCCGUAGGAUGGGACUGCGGUCUAUCAGCUUGUUGGUGAGGUAAUGGCCCACCAAGGCUAUUACAGAUACGGGCUCUGAGAGGAGAAGCCCGGAGAUGGGUACUGAGACACGGACCCAGGUCCUAUGGGGCGCAGCAGGCGAGAAAACUUUGCAAUGUGCGAAAGCACGACAAGGUUAAUCCGAGUGUUUUCUGAUAAAGAAAUCUUUUGUUAGUUCUAAAACCACUAUCGAAUAAGGGGUGGGCAAGUUCUGGUGUCAGCCGCCGCGGUAAAACCAGCACCUCAAGUGGUCAGGAUGAUUAUUGGGCCUAAAGCAUCCGUAGCCGGCUAUGUUAGUUUUCGGUUAAAUCCAUGUGCUCAACACAUGGGCUGUCGGAAAUACUGUAUAGCUAGGGAGUGGGAGAGGUAGACGGUACUCGGGAGGAAGUGGUAAAAUGCUUUGAUCUCUCGAUGACCACCAGUGGCGAAGGCGGUCUACCAGAACAUGUCCGACGGUGAGGGAUGAAAGCUGGGGGAGCAAACCGGAUUAGAUACCCGGGUAGUCCCAGCUGUAAACUAUGCAAACUCAGUGAUGCAUUGGCUUGUGGCCAGUGCAGUGCCGCAGAGAAGUCGUUAAGUUUGCCGCCUGGGAAGUACGUACGCAAGUAUGAAACUUAAAGGAAUUGGCAAGGGAGCACCACAAGGGGUGAAGCCCUCGGUUCUCUUGGAGUCAACGCCGG
rnacentral:rRNA from 1 species